rnacentral:lncRNA from 1 species
AUGCCUGUUAACAAAUCAUCUGCAAUUAAUAAGUUUGGAGGAAUAUCUUCUCCUUAUCGUGAGGAACUCUUGAAAUUUAAUUUUCAGAACUCAAGUAAAAAUAAGAGUCAUAAAUCAAGGUCAUUAUUAUUAAUUAGAGAAAAGUUCAUCUUGAAAUUCAAUCAAACACAGAAUCCAGUAGAGAAGAAAGAACUAUUGGAACAAGCGAGAAAAAACAUUCUCAGAUGUAAGAGAAAAUUGGGUCUCAGUUCCUUGGGUUGUGGGAAGCAUGUGCAUCUUCCUUUUGCAUGGACUGAAGUAAUAUAUCUGGCGCAAUGCAAAGGAGAAAUCCAAGAUGAAUCAGUUUUAUAUAGACUCUGUUGUGAUGCAUUCCUGAAGGACUUUUUAUAUUCUGUUGAGAUAAAGCUGACAAAGAUUGGAUAUUUGAUCUUCUUACGACUUUUUAUAUUUUUCCUCCAUGGUCAACUAGCAAAUUUUAAAGGACAUUUACUUAGGCUUCAACCGUAUUCAUAUGCACUUUUUUCCUCUGGAGAGUCAUAUCGCAAGUAUCCAAACAUCUUUUCAAAUAUCCAGUUCAUCCUGAAAACGUUAGAAAUUAUAUGCGAAAGAGAACUCCUUUCUGAAUCAGGUUUUAGCACUGGGGAAAAUAAGGAAGGAUUUGAGGACAAAGAUUCUGAUAUGGCACACUUGCAAUGUAAUCAUGGAAGCUAUGAAGUUAACCCCCUGCUCUGGCAUUGUGUUGCUUGUUGGUUUUGUGUUCAGAGUAAUAGUCCUCAGCUGAGUAGUGUGCUUGAGCAUCUCAUCUUGCAUAAAAUGCAGCUUCAGAAGAAAUGCUGGUUGGAUUUGGUACUGGCCUUGCUGGUCCUUGGGGAAGCUGCCAAACUAAAUAUGGCCUGCUUGAAAACUUUCAUGGACCUAAUGAGAGAUUUUCUUUUAAGCAUUAUGUCUGUUGAGAAACAGAAGGAAAGGUGCACGGGAGAUGAUCUCUCCUGGGCCUGGAGUGUAGUUCAUACAUACACAACGAUCAUUGCAGAGGUCUGUUUGUAUGCGGCCACAUCAGAUUUGCGGAAAACUGCCUUUCUUGGUCUCUGUGGAUGUAAACGUCCACAAAAAAAUAUUUUACUCAUUGACAAAUCGGAAGAGCCAGAAUUACAGGAAACAAGUAUUUUAAGUCUUUUGGAAUUCUUCUCUUCAAAAAUAUCAGAUAAUUGUGAUCAAUUGGUCUGGAUCGGAUACUACGGCUUAGUGUAUAACCUGGUGAAAAUGUCCUGGGAACUUCAGGGGGAUGUGGAACAGGAUGGACUUGGAAACAUGAUUUGGCAAACAUUACAAAAAACAAAGGAUUAUGAGAAAGAUGGACGGAUCCUAAAUGGAAUAAAUAUUGCCCAGGCUGAGUUAAAUGACCGAACUGAUCCUUUCACUAGAUACAGUACAAAAGUUCCAUCAAAUGCAAGGGAAGAGGUUUUCUCUAAAUACAUUGGGUGCAGAGUUGCCAACACACUUUCCAAACUACUGUUUCCACCUCUCGAUGUCCAUGUGCUUCCUUUGAAGAAACCAGAGGUGAAACAGGAUCAAAUGAAAUAUCUAAAUAAAAAACAGGAGUCUGUGAAGAAGAGAGUUCUACAUUCUACUGUAAGGGAACAUCCUUCUCUCUCAGAACUUCCCAUGUCUCCAUAUCUAGAUUUCUUCACCAAAGCAGAUAAAGAAUUGGCAAAAAUUAUUGACCAUCAUUGGCAGAAAGAGCUAGAGAUCCGACAAAGAGAAGUUGCAAUAUGUGAAGCCAAAGAACAGAAAGAUAAAGAGUUAGAGGAGAAAAAACACUUCCAAGAAGUUAUGAAGCAAAGAGAAGAGAAAUUGCACAAGCAUACUAAACCCUAUGAGCUUCCUCCCAGGACUGAAGUAAUUUCAUUAGAAAAGACAAUGACUCACAAAAAAACUGAUGUCUACAUGCCAUAAAUUGCUAGCAUGGAAAAGAUCAAGAUGGCUACCUAAAUACUAGAAAAAUGUUUUUGUAAUUAACUUGAGGUUCUUUUUGUUUGGAAAGUUGUUAUCCUGGUGCAAGCUGUCUAAUAGUCAUUGUUUAAUCUUACCUUAGUAGUUAACUCCAAAUCAAAUUUAAAAGAUUUCACUAGUUAUAAAUUUCCAAGACUACAGCUAGUGCUUUUCUCAAUUGAGUCUUCUCCUCUGAAGUAUAGUAUUCUUGAUCAGUCAUUCUCAGAGUGUUGAUAUUCAUUGGAUUAUAUCAUAAAAAUGAACUGAAAAUUAAUUAAUGAGUCGGUCUAUAAGAAUUGUUUUUUCAAACUAGAGUUAUCACUGUCUUAUACAUCUAUAAUUGCUAUUAUUCAAAUAAAAGAACUUAUGGUGUCUCUUUGGAUUUGCAUUUUAUAGUCAAUUUAUCCCAAACUGAACUUUAUAUCAGGGACUUGAACUUGAUAAAUUACUGUACAUAAGCAAAUCUGGAAGUGUCAGUCACCUCUGAUUGGUUUGAUCUUUCAUGAAUGCUAGAGGAAACCUCUGAGUGACAGUGGUUUUACUUUGCCUGAGGAGUUGAUGAGAAUAUAUUUGUAUGAUGCUGGAAUGAAUGGUCAGUACCAAUUAUUGGAGGCAUUCAUCCAAUCAGAAAUUAUUUUAUAAAUGGAAUUUCACUUCACCUGAAGCUUUCAGACUAUGAAUAAGAGUAAAGGGAUGGGGUUCCGGUGAUGCCUUUUAUUCCUUUUCUGAAAAAAUAUAGAUAGCAUAUUUUCCAUUAUUUUUCUUCAAUUUUACACACAUUUUUUUUACACCCAUAUUUUAGUAAUAGUCAAGAGACAGGUGUCAAGUGACUACAUGGGUGAGGGGUCAACAUAAAUUAGUGAAGGGGUGAGGGAAUACCUAACCUAUCUAAAACAUUGCCUAAUACUUGACUACAUUUUGAAAUUUAUGUCAAGCAUUGUAAGAUUAUCUAGUCUUUUUUUAUGAGUUGGAGUCUCACUACACAGUUCAGAAUAGCCUUGAACUCACUGUGUAGCCCAGGUAGGCCUUGAACUCACAGCAAUCUCCCUGUCUCAGCCUCCUGAGUGCUGGGAUUACAGGGGGGCACCACCAUGCCUGGCUGAAAAUUAUCUAGCCUUUGAAGAAGAAGCCUUUAAAUGACAUUUAUUUUUUUUAAUUGGAAGUUCCUAAUUUUUAUAAUGUUGGCAACUAAUUUUUUAAAAUUAUAUACUUUCAGGACUAUAUUUUAUGGAGUUGAGGUAUGAUUAUUUUUGAUAGCAAUAACAUGGUAGAAAAAAUGUUGGAAGUAGGUUUC